UAAUAAGUAAUGAUGCAGAGCCAAGGGCAACCCCCACUCUCUCACAUUCUAAGUCGGCAGACGAGAUCUUCGGCCAUUUUUGCUUCGGUCUCAGAUUGUCGGACAAGGGCAGGUCGGCUUUCUUUCUCGUCGGACAAGCCCAAGCUGCCAUUUUCUUCGCUGGCCGCUGCUCUUUCCUUCUCUUCAAACUUCUCUCAGGCUACACCAGGAUUUUCCUCUCUUUGUUGAGCUGCUACCAUGGUUAUAGACAGUGGCAGCCAGGACCAGUCCCAUAAGGCUCAUCGGUCUCGUCAAGCAGGUCCAAAGAAGAAGGCGAAAUCAGAUAAGAAGAAGAAGCUCUCAACCGAGGAAAAGAAGCAAAACCCUAAGGCAUUUGCCUUUACUUCAACAGUGAAAGCUAAGCGUUUGCAGUCUCGAGCUGUAGAGAAGGAGCAGCGUAGACUUCAUUUGCCGACUAUUGAUCGGGCUUAUGGUGAACCACCUCCUUUUGUUGUUGUUGUGCAUGGACCGCCCCAGGUUGGCAAGUCUCUAUUGAUAAAAUGUCUUGUAAAGCAUUAUACGAAGCAAAAUUUACCUGAGGUUCGAGGACCAAUUACCAUUGUGUCAGGUAAGCAAAGGCGGGUUCAGUUUGUUGAGUGCCCUAAUGACAUCAAUGGCAUGAUUGAUGCUGCAAAAUAUGCUGAUCUAGCUUUGUUGUUGAUAGAUGGAAGCUAUGGCUUUGAAAUGGAGACUUUUGAAUUUCUUAAUAUUUUGCAAGUUCAUGGAUUCCCAAAGGUCAUGGGAGUCCUUACUCACCUUGAUAAAUUCAAGGAUGUGAAAAAACUUAAGAAAACAAAGCAGAGACUCAAGCAUCGUUUCUGGACAGAAAUAUAUGAUGGGGCAAAAUUGUUCUAUUUGUCUGGUCUUAUUCAUGGGAAGUACUCUAAGCGAGAGAUUCACAAUCUUGCUCGCUUUAUUUCUGUUAUGAAGUUUCAUCCGUUAUCGUGGCGAACUGCUCACCCAUAUAUUUUAGUAGAUCGCUUUGAAGAUGUGACUCCUUCUGAACGAGUGCAUAUGGACAAUAAAUGUGACAGGAAUGUCACACUUUACGGUUAUUUGCGGGGUUGUAAUUUGAAAAAGGGGACUAAGGUGCAUAUUGCUGGUGUUGGUGAUUAUAGUUUGGCUGGUAUUACAGCUUUGGCUGACCCUUGUCCUUUACCAUCAGCUGCGAAAAAGAAAGGAUUGAGAGACAAGGAAAAACUGUUUUAUGCUCCCAUGUCUGGCCUUGGGGAUCUGCUGUAUGACAAGGAUGCUGUGUACAUAAACAUAAAUGACCACUUUGUUCAGUUCUCUAAAGUUGAUGAUGAAAAUGGGGGAACAAAACGCAAAGGAAAGGAGCAAGAUGUAGGUGAGGUUUUGGUGAAAUCACUACAGAACACAAAAUAUUCAAUUGAUGAGAAAUUGGAGAAUAGCUUCAUUACCCUUUUCAGCAGGAAUCCUAUUAUUGCAUCUGAUACUCAGAAUUAUGUAAGUGAUAGUUACGAGGAGCAGAGACGUGAUAUUGAUCCUCUUAAGCAGAAUGAGCUUGAGGAUCAAAUUGAACCAGGUGGGUCUAGAGAAGAAAGUGAUACUGAAGAUUCGGAUGGUUCAGAGUCUUCUGAUCACAAUGAAGUGGCUCAAAGGGAUGCCAUGGUAAAUGGGGAAGAUGGAGUAUCUGAUGAUGAGUGUGGUGGUGAUGCAUCAAAUCAUCAAGCUAAUCUUAAAGACUGCUUGAAGGAACAUGCUGAGUUUUAUGGUGGAAGACUCCGGAGAAAAGCUAUGUUUGGGGAUGACAUGGAUGACAAGGAUCUAGAGGAGUCUGAUGACGAGAGUGAAGAUGAUGAUGAGGAUAAUCAAUCAUAUUCUGAUUCAGAUGUUUCGGAGGAAGAUGGAGAGGAUAAUGGAACAGAUGAAGAUGGCCUGGGCAAUGUAUCAAAGUGGAAAGAGUCAUUGGUUGAAAGGACUGUCUCAAGAAAAAAUAUUAAUCUCAUGCAACUUGUGUAUGGGACUUCUGCAUCGACAACUGCCAUAAAUGAAAAGCGGGAGAGUAUUGAUGAUGAGGAAAGUGAUGGAGAUGACUUCUUUAAGCUAAAAGGGGAAGGCAAUAAGAAAUUGAAAGAGGGAUUGGAUGGUACAGACAUCAACACUGAGGACUGCUCCAAAUUUACAAAUUAUGCGGAUCUUAAAAAUUGGAAAGAAGAAGAGAUAUAUGAAAGUAUUCGUGAUCGUUUUGUCACUGGUGACUGGUCAAAAGCUGCCCAAAGAAAUCAACCCUCCAAGGCAAACACUGAAGAAGAUGAUGUCUAUGGUGACUUUGAAGAUUUGGAAACAGGUGAUAGAUAUGAGAGCCAUCAUAAAGAUGAAUCUGGCAGUCAUCCUGUCAAGAUGGAAGAUGAUCUUGCAGCAGAGGAGCGGAGACUUAAAAAGCUGGCACUUCGUGCUAAAUUUGAUGCUCAGUAUAAUGGAUCUGAGCCACCUGAGGAAGAUGAUGAGAAACAAGGAGCCCAGGUUCAUCGUGAACAAGCCAAUGAAAGUGGAUUUUUCGACAAGUUGAAGGAGGAGAUUGAACUCCGUAAAAAAAGGAAUAUUGCUGAACUCAAUGACCUAGACGAGGAAACUCGAUUAGACAUUGAGGGCUUCCAUACUGGGAUGUAUCUAAGAUUAGAGGUUCAUGAUGUUCCUUUCGAGAUGGUUGAACAUUUUGAUCCCUGCCAUCCAAUCCUGGUUGGAGGAAUUGGUUUUGGUGAGGAAAAUGUUGGAUACAUGCAGACAAGGUUAAAACGGCACAGAUGGCACAGGAAGGUACUAAAGACUAGAGACCCUAUAAUUGUGUCUAUUGGUUGGAGGCGUUACCAAACUACACCUGUCUAUGCAAUUGAAGAUCAAAAUGGAAGGCAUCGCAUGCUCAAGUACACUCCAGAACACAUGCAUUGUCUUGCCAUGUUCUGGGGUCCUCUUGCCCCUCCCCACACCGGGGUGGUUGCUGUCCAGAAUUUAUCUAACAUUCAGGCAGCAUUUCGAAUAACUGCAACUGCAGUUGUACUCGAGUUCAAUCAUGCAGCAAAGAUAAUGAAGAAAGUCAAGCUAGUUGGUUAUCCAUGUAAGAUAUUCAAGAAGACUGCACUGAUCACAAAUAUGUUUACUUCUGAUCUUGAAGUAGCUCGGUUUGAAGGUGCUGCUAUUCGAACUGUCAGUGGGAUACGGGGGCAGGUGAAAAAGGCUGCAAAAGAUGAAAUAGGUAAUCAGCCCAGAAAGAAGGGAGGGGCACCAAGAGAGGGAAUUGCCCGGUGCACCUUUGAGGACAGGAUUUUGAUGAGUGACAUUGUUUUUCUGCGUGCAUGGACUCAAGUUGAAGUUCCUCAGUUCUAUAACCCAUUGACUACUUCAUUGCAACCUCGUGGUAAGACCUGGCAGGGAAUGAAAACGGUGGCUGAAUUAAGGAGGGAACACAAUCUCCCUGUUCCUGCUAACAAGGAUUCACAGUACAAGCCUAUUGAAAGAAAGCCAAAGAAGUUCAACCCAUUGGUGAUACCUAAGUCAUUACAGGCAGCACUUCCAUUUGAAUCCAAACCAAAGGAUAUACCCAGUCAGAAACGGCCUCUUCUUGAAAAUAGAAGAGCCGUUGUCAUGGAUUCUCGAGAGCGAAAACUUCAUAGUCUUGUUCAACACCUUCAAAGGAUCAGACAUGAGAAGAUGAAGAAGCGAAAGCUUAGGGAAGAGCAGAAGAGAAAAGAAUACGAAGCAGAGAAAGCCAAGGACGAGCAAUUGUCAAGAAAGCGCCAGAGAGAAGAACGGCGUGAGAGAUAUCGUGUGCAGGACAAAUUGAAGAAAAAAAUGCGCAGAAAUUCAGAGGCCUAAUGAUAGCCGAUUAGAAUGGUUCGCUGAAUCCCCCAUUCAUCUGGUAUGAGGUGCACAGUUGAUAUCUCAAAAUGACAUUGCUGCAAGUUUGCAACGCUAGGCACUCUGACCAUCUUGAAUGGUAAGAUCUUACUCCCAAUAGCGCAAAGCCACCAACCAUACAUUGCUUCCAUGAGGAUUCACAUCUCUUGUAAUUUAGAUCAUCAUCCAACAUUUCUGAGCUAUUGUCCAUUUCUUUCAAGUACUGAAACUUCGUUUAGACUGAGGAUAUGAAGAGUGAUUUGGUUCUGUUUAGGGUUUUCAAGUGUUGAAUUGGGCUUUGAGCAUCACACUUGAGCUGAGAGAAGUUGGUAUUUUGGGCUACUUCAUAUUAAAUUAAUCAAAGUUUUGUAAGAGUUAUAUUCUAGUUAGUACUUGAAAACUCUGUAUAUUUAUUUUAGAGGGGCAGUUAAUUUUGUUUUAAUUGAAACAUUUUCAUUGAAGCAUAAACACAUCUUCG
rnacentral:misc_RNA from 1 species